GCGGAUGUAGCUCAGUUGGUAGAGCGCCGGUUUGUGGUUCCGGUUGUCGCGGGUUCGAUCCCCGUCAUUCGCCCCA
rnacentral:tRNA from 1 species